GAUGAAUAACGUAGCGAAAUGCGAUACGUAAUGUGAAUUGCAAAUUCAGUGAAUCAUCGAGUCUUUGAACGCACAUUGCGCCCCCUGGUAUUCCGGGGGGCAUGCCUGUCCGAGCGUCAUUGCUGCCCUCAAGCACGGCUUGUGUGUUGGGCCCCGUCCUCCGAUCCCGGGGGACGGGCCCGAAAGGCAGCGGCGGCACCGCGUCCGGUCCUCGAGCGUAUGGGGCUUUGUCACCCGCUCUGUAGGCCCGGCCGGCGCUUGCCGAUCAACCCAAAUUUUUAUCCAGGUUGACCUCGGAUCAGGUAGGGAUACCCGCUGAACUUAAGCAUAUCAAUAAGCGGAGGA
rnacentral:misc_RNA from 1 species